GACAAAAUGUGAAUGAGCUAUAUGUAAAUUUCGAGCAGAAAUUCCUUCGCUUUUUUUUGCUUGCUCUUUCUUUUUCGGCUGUCAAACAACCAACCGACCAAAGUGAAUGUGGCCGAAACGAAACUAUCGCAAUGAAAAUGGGAAACAAAAAACGCAAGCUAUGACGACGCUGGCAGCCAAAAAGCCAAGACAGAAAAAAAGAGAUUAAAAAUAGGUUUAAGAAAUAGAGAAAAGUGCUCGAAAAUAGAAUGGAUAAAUGCCAUUUUGAAUUUGACUUUUUUUUUCUCUGAAAAAGACGAACAAAAAACGCAACAAGAUGUCGCCGAACAGAAAACUACAUCGUGCAAACAACAGAAAACAUCCGAGAAAUGCCAUCGCAUCUUAAGCAAUGCACAAAUGCGCUGCGACAGAACAUUUUCGUAAGAUGACUGAGCAAUUAAUUUUUCACGCCACUCGCGUCUUACGACUGUGCUAGCACAGCUAUAUUCACAGCCCAUCGUCUCACGGACGUUGAAUUUUCACAUUUUCACUCGCUCCGUCUUCUCGUUUACGUGCAUUUUUUUUUUUCGUUUUUCGCAAGUGUUUUCCGUGCAGGCAGUCGUGUUUAUUUAAUUGUUUGAUGGAUUUUUGCUGUUUGAAAACACAGACAUAAGAUAAAUGAAAACGAAGACACCAAAUGGAUAGAGUAGUUUGAAUUGAAAAACUUUGUUCUAUUUUCCUCUGAAUUUCUUUUCUCUCUCUCUCUCUGGCAGAAGCGUCACUAUUUGACUAGAUAACAAAAUUUGUUUCGUUUCUGUUGAAACAAUAGAUUUUUCGAUUGGCCUAAAAAUAGGUUUGCCAGUCGUAAUAACAUUUAGUCGUUGUGAAAAUAGGGAACUUGUCAAAAGAUCAAUCAGUAGCAGAAAAAGCCUAACAAACGAUAACCGGUUCGAACCAUUAUGAUGCAAUAACUGCGAAUUUAUUUGCAAGAUAGACUCGGAACGAUGUCAAAUCAAUGUAAUUGCGUAUUGGAACUUGAAACGUAUUACGUCGAAAUUCAAUAUGACAUCGCCAGAUAGAAUACAUAUCGAUUGAGUUAGAGUGUUUUCUUUUACUCUUGGAGAGUGUAGAUUAUCAUUUUAUUAGAAGAAUGUUUUUUUUUUUUCGUUUGGUUCGUUCGUUGUUUAUCAAUAAUCUCGUCACUUAUUUUAUUAUCACUGGAGAAACUACGAAAAACACACACUCUUCUCGGGCCGAGGCGAACAUCGAAUCUGACAGAAAGAAAGACAACAAACACGUUACUAAUCAAAAACAGUUUUCUCGUUUUCUUCGCUCUCUCGCCGCUGUGUCGUUGUUGUUGUCGUCAUCGUCGUCGUCUUUGUUUUUUUUUUCAGUUGUUGAGCAUUCGUAUGCUAAACAAAGCAACAGAAAUUCAUCUUCAGUCUUCUUGUUUAUUGUAUAGAAAAUGGAAUUGAUGGUGAAGUUGAAGCGUCCAAAAAGCAAAAAGUGCGUCUCGCUCGCUCUCUCUUCAUCUCUUCAUCAUGUUUCAUUAUACAUACACAAUUGAUAGAGAGCAGCCAUACGGUUUAAUCGAGUAUGUUUGGCAAUGCUGACAGCCGUAUGUUUAAAAUAGGAAAAGGCCAAAAUGCGCGUGAUGAUGAUUAGAGCGAAUCACGCGUUACACGCGCGAGCCCCAUUCCAAUCUUCGAAUCACAUAAAUUAAAGACAUACCAACAAGAGGACGAAUGAGGCAAAGAGCUAUGUGUUGCUCACACAAAACAUACGAAACAAGAAGACUGAAUAAAAAAAAAACGAACACCGAAAAAAUCAGUUUUGAAAUGAUAACUGAAUCAACAUUGAACAACUCGCAUCGAGCUAUAAACAAAUUGGAGAAUUCUAUUUUGUCGCAGUAAACGAUAAUGCGAACACUAAACAUUGUGUUUGAAUGCGCGAGGCUAAAUACAGAGAAAAAAAACCUUUAUAAAAUUAGAAUUUUGUGUUAUGUGUGCGUUGGUCUGUUUUCUCUCUUCCUCCUUCUUGUGCACGCUGUUAUCAAAAUUUAUUAUUUUUCAGGAUUUUUCCUCAAUAUUCGAGCCGUGAAAUGCGCUUAUUUGUCAACUGUUUAUUUUACCGUUUAGAUUUCUUUCUUUUUCCUUUCUUUCUCUCAUUCUGUUUUUUUCUUCUUUCGUUUGAUUCAAAAAAUGAAAUGCGCUUGACAAAUUUAUUGUCAACUCUAUUUGCCUUUCGGGCGUUUGUGUCCCUGACUGAAAGUCGUAAAUUGAUUACGAACGGCGUGUUCUACACACCGAUUUGAAGCUCGUCUAUGAUUGGCUUCUAUUUUAGCUAGCACACGAUUACGAAAAAGGGACAUUCCGGCUGAAGCUAGAUCACAAAUAGAGUGUUAAUUUGGCUAUUGGUCUGAACAUCCCAAAAUUUAUCGUAUCGAGGUUGAGACGAUUAGCUGUUGAAUAUAAAUGAGAGGAGUUUUGCAGGAAAUGAAAUAAAUUGAUUGAACCAGAUUAACAGCCAAUCGAUGACAGACUAUUGCUGUUUUAUUGGCUUUCAUGAUUGAUGAGCCAUCAUAAUACUCUAUAUAAACAAAUAUACAGAAGCUAAAAAGCUAAACUCCAAGCGCUUCUUUUCUUCUGGUCACAAUGUGUGUAUGUAUGUUUUUGUUUAUUUCGAAUGUCAUAUGUAAACAAAAACAAAUCGAGCGAGAGACGCUACACUUCAAUAAUAAAAUUCAUUGCGCUAUGAACAGCAGAAUAUGCUGUGUGAGAGACAUUGAGAUCGUUUGUAAAUGUACGUUCAAGAAUGCUGAUUACGGAAAUUUUUCAUCAUUGUUCAACUCUUUCUCAACUAAUAUGAUACGAAACCUUCGAAAAAAGUAAUAGAAACCUAAAAUUUAUGUAUUUCGUUCUCUCUCUCUCUUUCUCUCUCUCUUUCUCUCUCUCUCUCUCUCUCUCUCUCUCUCUCUCUCUUGUCUAUAGUCGAUAGAGGCAAAAAUAUUGUCAAAUCAUACAAAUAGUGCGGAGGAAACAAAUUCACACAAGAAUCGUGUAUACAAUUUAACGGAUAGUUAAACAUCAAUAAAUACAUGAUUAAACAAAAAUAAUGAUUGCGCAUUCAAACGAUAGACAUGUCUCCAUUAAACGUCAUUUCGAUUCGAUUAUGUGUACAUAUCGAAAAUGGUUUGGAGUUGCUUCGAGUAUGUUGCCACUGAAAUAUUAUAAUGUCGCAUGGCAUAUCGAACAGCUCUCGAAUCGGUUGCCGAGUCAGUUGCUGUUGUUGUUAUUGUUGUUGUUUUCGUUUACUCGGUCAAUUGUGAGCCCGAAAGAUGAACUCACCGCGGUGAUUGAUAUCAUUUGCAAUUCACAUACUGAAUCUCUACUGAAACGAAACCAAUGCGAAGAACAGAGCGUUUGUUACAUUUUCUACAUUUCUAUUUGUUUUCGUUCGCAAUGAUUUGCUGCUGUUGCUGUCGUUGUUGGUGUAUCUCUUUCGUUGUUGACGCAAAUUCAGUGUUAUUUCCAUAUUUCGAUUCCAAUUACACAUUUAAGCCCGUCGACUUGUUGUCGUUGUCAUUUUGCUGCUGUUACGCCGUCGUAUUAUUAUUUUUUUCUUCUCUCCUUUAUUGAAUAUAAUUCAAAAUGUGACUUGCUUUUGUUCCGAACGGCUGAAAGUGAACAGCGCACAGUGUGCUCGAGUGUUCCAGAUUACAGAAUCGUAUGAUGUGUACGUGUGUGUCUAACUCCAUCCAACUAUCUGUCUGUCUGUCGAUCGGUCGGUCGUUCGAAUGUGUGUCAGUCGAGUUUGUGGCAUGAGGUGGAUGUGUGUGUGUGUGUAUCUGUGAGCGAUAGAGUACUCGCUCGCACAUUCCAUCAACGCAAAUGCAAACUCAAUAAACUGCAGUUUAAAGACUGAAUCUUUUGUGAUUACAAUGUCAUUUGUUCUAAUUGAUCAUUAUCAAAUUGAUUAUAAACUGUUUUAAUACAUCAUUUUGGAGCCGGUGUAUUUGAUGUAUUUCGCUUUGACUUCGUCACAUUUUAUGAUGGUCAUUCGUGCAGUGUCAACCGACCACUCGCCAUAAUCUCUCUCGAGAAUCGAUCAAAUGCAAAAAAAAAAAAAAUUAGUUGCGCCACUGUGAAAUCGUGACCGCUCUCUCGCGAAACACAAGCAACUUUGAAAAAUUAAUUGCGAACGGUGCAAGCGGCGUUAGCAACAAUAAAUGCGAAAUCUUUCACAAAUAUUCAAAGAUCAAAAGAACAAAACUAAUUAAGCCAAUGUGCUGCGCAACUCGAUUAAUGUUGGCCCAGAUUUCAAUAGUUUGCAUCGCAAAAUACUCGACUGCAUUUUGACACCCUGCAUUUAAAUAGCAAUAAAAGCACGAAAUGAAGUUGAUAUUUUCUGUUCAUCAAAAGAGUGUUCAGCAAUAAUCAGUGCGACAACGCUCCUGAACUGGAUACCCUGUAUGAAAUUCAAUUUGAUACAGCAAUUUUUCGUUCGUUUCACCUUUUCAACGGAUUUUAUUUAAUCUUGAUAUUCGAGACAAAGUAGAAGAAAAAAAGACUUUUUGGUACAAAUACAAACAAUAAAAUUCUUUUAAAACAAAUAAAUCGCGAUGGAAUAAAACGCAAACGCAAACACACACACACCACAAUGUAUACCGAGCCGAAUGUAAAUUAUUCGAUAGAAUGUGACAAAAACAAAACAGAAAAAAUAGCAACACAUCGUCUUUUAAAACGACGUACGCGACUGUUUCUUUAUUUUGUUGAAUUCGUCGAAAUUUCACUUGAAAAACAAUUUUAUAUGAUAUUGUUUUGACACGCAGAGUACGUCUUACGUAUGGCUUUGCUAACAUUAGCCAAAAAGAUAUUGCGUCAAUACAUGCCAGCCACAUCAUUGUUCACUUUGUGUGGAAGUUUAAGGAUGGGGACGAAACGUUUAAAAGCAGCCAGGAACAGAUGUUGCGUCAAAUUCAAUUUUAUUCUUGAUUGUUGCGGCGUGGCGGUGGCACGGGUGAAAAAAUGAGACACUUCAUACGUUGGUGUGAAGUGAUAACAGCAUUUUAUGCCAACGCAUAAUAUUGAAAAAUGACGAUAAAAAUCGAAACAUCAACUCAAUAAUGACAUGGUAAUAAUAAAACGGUAGUCAACAGCAAAUUUUCCAUGCAGUUACAUUUUAUAACAGCAGCCGCUUCUGCUGCUCACACAGCCAUUUGGAGCAGAUUCAAUGAACCACCGACUGAACACACCUCGACUUCAUUGUACUAUGUUAUGCAUUGAAUGGAAAUUCGGAAUACAGACCAUGGAGAAGGAAAAUUUAUAGAAAUAUGUUUUGUAGUCUUUCACAUGAAAAACUCAAUAAAAUUUUAAAUAUUCCAAUGAAAUUUUUAACA